UGCCCGGGGAACACUCACCAGCAUCCCUGGCCUCCACCUCCCUGUCGCGCCAGUGGCACCCCCGCUUGUGACAACUGAAUGUCCCCUGGGCACAGUGGCCCGGGUUGAGAAGCCCUGCAGUGGGCGGUCGCCUUCCCGUGACGCCCAGGACUGUCCUGCAGGAUGGAGCCAGCACCCUCAGGGGUCCGACUGGCCGUCCGGGAAGCCAUUCAGACCCUCUCAUCUUCGGAGGAUGGCGGCCACGUCUUCAGCACUCUGGAGUCCCUGAAGCGGUAUCUCAGUGAGAUGGAGCCUGCAGCGCUCGCGAGGGAGAAGGAGGAGUUUGCCUCGGCCCACUUCUCGCCUGUCCUCAGAUGUCUUGCCAGCAGGCUGAGCCCGGCCUGGCUGGAGCUGCUGCCGGACGGCCGCCUGGAGGAGCUGUGGGCCAGCUUCUUCCUGGAGGGCCCGGCGGACCAAGCCUUCCUGGUGCUGAUGGAGACCAUCGAGGGCACUGCCGGGUGAGUGAACUGGGCCCAUUCCGGGGUUGCCGGUAAACUCAGAAGUGAUGAGAGUGGUUUAAAGGACUGGACCAAGAGCCCCUCUGGUUCCUGUGAGGGGCUAGAGAGAGCGCCUGCGCAUGGCUGAACCUCUGAACAGAAGAAGCGGUCUGUGUCCGUCUCCUUGGUGACAGGAGGUACCUGCCGUGUCUCACAAAGUCCUUCGCUUGCUCCUCGUCCGGCUGCGUCAGAGAGGGAUGGGGCGGGACUGUUCACAUCCCAGGUGGCAGAGGCAGCCUGCCAGCUGGGGGCGUCGCAGGUUUUCCAGGGGAAGCACAGCUGUCAUCACUGACACGUGUCCUGUGUGGACUCCCAGCCCCAGGUGGCUCCCAGGCUCAGCCUCAGAUCACACUGCAGUCCUUGCCAGGACGCUGCACCUUGAGAAGCUGGGUUUUCAGAGGUUGCUGUGAUCAAAGCAAGCCUUGAGUUAUCCGCGUCAGCAGCAGGGGAGGGGUGUCCAGUGAGACUCCAGGUUGGGGAAGCCGCUCAGGACCCUGAGAGCUCUCACACAGUAAUUGCAGAUAUUUAGGAAUGGAUUAACAGA